rnacentral:rRNA from 1 species
GAUGAACGCUGACAGAAUGCUUAACACAUGCAAGUCAACUUGAAUUUGGGUUUUUAACUUAGAUUUGGGUGGCGGACGGGUGAGUAACGCGUAAAGAACUUGCCUCACAGCUAGGGACAACAUUUAGAAAUGAAUGCUAAUACCUGAUAUUAUGAUUUUAAGGCAUCUUAGAAUUAUGAAAGCUAUAAGCACUGUGAGAGAGCUUUGCGUCCCAUUAGCUAGUUGGAGAGGUAACAGCUCACCAAGGCGAUGAUGGGUAGCCGGCCUGAGAGGGCGAACGGCCACAAGGGGACUGAGACACGGCCCUUACUCCUACGGGAGGCAGCAGUGGGGAAUAUUGGACAAUGGACCGAGAGUCUGAUCCAGCAAUUCUGUGUGCACGAUGAAGUUUUUCGGAAUGUAAAGUGCUUUCAGUUGGGAAGAAAUAAAUGACGGUACCAACAGAAGAAGUGACGGCUAAAUACGUGCCAGCAGCCGCGGUAAUACGUAUGUCACGAGCGUUAUCCGGAUUUAUUGGGCGUAAAGCGCGUCUAGGUGGUUAUGUAAGUCUGAUGUGAAAAUGCAGGGCUCAACUCUGUAUUGCGUUGGAAACUGUAUAACCAGAGUACUGGAGAGGUAAGCGGAACUACAAGUGUAGAGGUGAAAUUCGUAGAUAUUUGUAGGAAUGCCGAUGGGGAAGCCAGCUUACUGGACAGAUACUGACGCUAAAGCGCGAAAGCGUGGGUAGCAAACAGG